rnacentral:pre_miRNA from 1 species
UUAACUAAUAUUUGUAUGGAACGGGAUCGUUUGCCUACGUUUGCCGCUAGGGGCGCUGUUCCAACUGCAUACUAAAUUGGGUUA